rnacentral:lncRNA from 1 species
UUGCAAUUUAACUCAAAUUAUCAGCCAAUUUGAUCCUAACCUAACAAAAACCAUAUCUGAAACUUUUCUUGAACUUAAAUUAGCCAUAUACCCCGAUGUAACAUGACUCAUCAACCCAACCUAAAUAGACCUACCUGAAUUGAAUUUGAGAUGAGAUUGGGUUAGGGUUAGCCCUCAUUAGGAUAAUGCAUCUUGGCCAUAUUCACUUGGAUGAUUGGUGUGUGGCAUAAUGAUAAUCCAACCAUGACUCCUUUCAGAUCUAUCAAAAUCUGCCAUCUAUCCUUCC